rnacentral:lncRNA from 1 species
GUUAUGUUGUGGUUUUCAUUAACUGUGUUAUUUAUCAUGCAUUUAGUUUAGAGAUCUUUUUUUUUUUUAUUACUAAUGAUGAUUUUAAUUGUACAACUUGUAAAGUUUCUUUUUAUUAUUACAAGGGCUGAUGAUACGUGUUAUACUAAGGGAUGGUAGAAUUAUGUCUAACACAAAUUUUUAAUCAAACUUCACCAUACGUCCACGUGUCAGUCAUGAUUUUCCCGUCUUUUUCUUUUCAUUUAAAGAUGAAAUUCAUGACACAUAUUUCUAUUUUUCUAUCACUAACCAUGGUUAUGUAAAACUAGCUUAAGGAACGUCUUAUCCUUUUUCUAAGCAAACAGUUUAUUUGUAGAUAACAAGACCUCGUUGAUAAAUAUUAACACAGUGGUUUCGUAGAACAGAUUUUAGGUACUGAU